rnacentral:rRNA from 1 species
AUUGAACGCUGGCGGCAGGCCUAAUACAUGCAAGUCGAGCGGACGAAGGGAGCUUUCUCCUGGAUUCAGCUGCGGACGGGUGAGUAAUGCAUAGGAAUCUGCCCGGCAUUUGGGGAUAACGUCCCGUAACGGGCCCUAAUAUCGCAUACGUCCUGAGGGUGAAAGUGGGGGUUCUUCGGACCUCACGCUAUUAGAUGAGCCCGGUUCGGAUUAGCUAGUUGGUGAGGUAAAGGCCUACCAAGGCGACGAUCCGUAACUGGUCUGAGAGGAUGAUCAGUCACACUGGAACUGAGACACGGUCCAGACUCCUACGGGAGGCAGCAGUGGGGAAUAUUGGACAAUGGGCGAAAGCCUGAUCCAGCCAUGCCGCGUGUGUGAAGAAGGUCUUCGGAUUGUAAAACUCUUUUAGUUGGGAGGAAGAGAAGUGAAUUAAUACCUGGAUGUUUUGACGUUACCAACAGAAAAAGCACCGGCUAACUUCGUG